GGAAGUAAAAGUCGUAUCAAGGUCUCCGUUGGUGAACCAGCGGAGGGAUCAUUACCGAGUUUACAACUCCCAAACCCCUGUGAACAUACCAUUUGUUGCCUCGGCGGUGCCUGCUUCGGCAGCCCGCCAGAGGACCCAAACCCUUGAUUUUAUACAGUAUCUUCUGAGUAAAUGAUUAAAUAAAUCAAAACUUUCAACAACGGAUCUCUUGGUUCUG
rnacentral:misc_RNA from 1 species